UCUAUGGGUGCCUGGACCGUCUAGCAGCAGACCUGCCAAGUGCAAGGGACCUGGGACAGUGGGGGCGGGGGGGGAGGGGAACAGGGAAGGGCUCUGGGAAUAGCCCCUACUCUGCCCCCGAAUUAGAGCUCUUAAUCCUAGCUAACAUUUAUUAUUACAUUUCACAACUGCCUGCAGAACUUGAAAAUCAGCAGUACCUCAUUCAGUGUCGAGAACAACCCCAAAAGCAACGGCUUUGUCUUCCCGAUUCUGCUUGGCUCGGGAGACCGAGAGAAUGAGGCCGUGUUCCCUGAGCUCGUCCAGAGGCUGCAGGAGUGGGAGGCUCGGACGCCUGCCUGCGGGUGACGGAGGCCCGUCUGGGAUGGAGUGUUUGGACAGGAACUCACUGUGCUGGACUCGCAACCUCCAGGGAGAGACCCUUCCAAACUAGAGGUUGUCUUCAUCAUUGUCAUCAUCCUAACAGCCUGUAAAUGUUGAACACUUGAUGUGUUCCAGACACCAUGCUAGUGCAUCAUGUGGCUUAGCUCACUGAAUCCUCGUCACAGCCCUGUAUUUCAUAAAUAAGGAAACUGAGGCACAGAGAGGUCAUGUGACUCACCCGAGGUUACACGAGAGGCUCCGGCAAACCCAGGGUGCCUGUUCCCAGGGUUCGUGACGCCACAGUGCUUGCUACGAUCUGAUCUUACCUCAGAGGUCGUUUCCUGUCUGUGAUACUCGGCUGACCCCAUGUCCCCAAGUGAGAGCCCCACUUGGGGGGGUCAGAGGUCACAAAGGGUCCUGACCCCUGUCGAAGUCCAAGGAGAGAAAGAGACGGCCCUGGGGCUCCUUGGGCUUCAGGGCAAGGCUCGCAUCCUUCUGUGCCCCUCCGCGAGUGGCUGGCUGGCC